GAAUAAGUACUUUAAACUGCGCGUGAUUCUAUCUCGUAACGAGGACGUACAUUGUACUAGUACCUUGCACAUUUUCACAAUAUUAAGUAAUGACCGGACAGCGCAGCGGCGUGAAUGCUUGCGUCUAUGGAAUCGCGACCGCGGGUUCAAACCUCACUUCUGGUAUAACACAUUUGUACUUUUUUAAAUUGUUCCUAUCGAUUUGAGAGCAGUAGACAUUUUGAUGUGAUAUUAAAGCAGCUAAUUUAAUACUCGUAUAUCAAAAGGCAAUUCAAUUUGUUUCGGCCAUAUUGGUGUGGUGCUGUGGAGCGACGGUCGUCUGUGAAACCCACGGUGGCUUCCGUGUCACAGUACUGACAUUUUGUAGUGCAAUAAAUAAUUAGCACGUUACUUUUAGUUUUGAUUGAGUAAUUGCAGAACAAUUCAGUGAUUUGAAAUUCAUUAGUUUUGGUGUGUUUUGUCAUCGUGCUUAGCGGGCCUAAUGCAACGCCUUCUCGGUACGAGGUAUCCUCCAAACGGAUCCCUGAGGGUCUGCUCUAAUGAGCUAACACUAUUAGGCCUGGCAGGGUGCCUGUGAACAUUAACAACAACCCCACAAAACUCUCCUGGCGUCCAACCAUAGUUUUAAGUAGUCAAGUAGUUAGUUUUAGUAAAGUAGUUAGCAGUAGUAUUAUUGAAGUAAUUGUAUCUGUAUAGUUGUAGUUGUAAAAUAAACUCAUUGUAAAUUGGA